GAUGAAGAACGCAGCGAAAUGCGAUAAGUAAUGUGAAUUGCAGAAUUCAGUGAAUCAUCGAAUCUUUGAACGCACCUUGCACCCUUUGGCAUUCUGAAGGGUAUGCUCGUUUGAGUGUCAUUGUACUCUCACACUCCCGAUCUUUGCAUUGGGAGCAGUGGACUUGGGUUUGCUGCUUCACCGUCGCUUACCUCAAAUAGGUUAGUGCAACUCUUGGUUGGACAUAGUACGGUGUGAUAAGUGUUCUUCGCCGGUGCCUCGCAAAGAGGGUGGCCGAUCGGGAUGUUGUGCUCCAAACCGUCUUCGGACAAUCUCUGACGACUUGACCUCAAAUCGAGUAAGACUACCCGCUGAACUUAAGCAUAUCAAUAAGCGGAGGA
rnacentral:misc_RNA from 1 species